rnacentral:rRNA from 1 species
UACAGAGGGUGCGAGCGUUAAUCGGAAUUACUGGGCGUAAAGCGUGCGCAGGCGGUUAUACAAGACAGAUGUGAAAUCCCCGGGCUCAACCUGGGAAUUGCGAUGGAGACUGCAAGGCUAGAAUCUGGCAGAGGGGGGUAGAAUUCCACGUGUAGCAGUGAAAUGCGUAGAGAUGUGGAGGAACACCGAUGGCGAAGGCAGCCCCCUGGGCUAACACUGACGCUCAUGCACGAAAGGCGUGGGGAGCAAACAGG